rnacentral:lncRNA from 10 species
UAGAUGAGCCAGACCUACUGGAUUUCCUCACUGCCUAGGCUCUCCAGGCUCUUCAUUUGCAACGUGUUAUUCUGGGGCACAAGCGCUGGUGUCCCAAACCCUGAAACUGUGAAAUUGGCUGUGCUCCAGCGACCCACCAAAUCAGCAGAAAUGCUUUCGGCAGUCCCCUUCUUCCUCUAUUUAAAAUCAGCCUCUGCGUGAAUUCCCCCCAGAGUCGGGAUUCUUUCCAAUCAGUCACUUUCUGAUAUCUUAACAGCUUGGUAAAGAAAUGCAGCUUUUAAUUGAGGGGAAAGACAGCACACGGAAGUCGAUAUCUUUGUACAGAUCCUUUUUAUUCAGAUUUAUAUAGGCAAUUUACCAACACAGAAAACCAGUCUAGCAGCUCCAAAGUAACUGUAAAAACGGUGGUGCUGACGGUGGUGUGCCCCACACAGGGCAGGUGACCUCAGACGUGGAGCAGCAUCUCCCGUGGGAUACUAUUUCAGACGUGCACUAGUGAGUGUAUACUGAGAAGGGAUUAUAAACCUUCCCUGGCACAACAGAUACAAAAAGAGAUAGAACCAAUGAUAUUUUGUCUAGGUACAAUAUCUAGAUUUACAGUAUCUAGUUUACUGGCUUCACUUCGUAUAGCAAUGCACAAUAGAAAACGGAUUUCUUUCUUCAAGGGUAUUCAAGAAUAUAGUAAAUAUGUUACUAUAUUGAUGGCUAUGAAAACAGACAGAGACAAAUGAGUGAGGAGGCACGUUCUCUCACAGAGACAGGACUUCAUUCUAUUUCACAUAAAUCAUUAAGGGUCCAUUCAAAUAUAAGACCUCUCACAAAGUUUCAGUCAUGUAUGAGGGCGCUUACCUUUAAGACCCCAUUUCAAAACCAUUUUGAAAUAGUGAAGGGGGGAAAAAGUCACACUCAAAUGUGCUACUCUUAAAAGCAGUGUUUCUAAGCACAGCUUGCCUUUUUCAAAGAGUGAAGGUGGCCUUUCUGUUUAGUGGUUAGGUAAUUGGGUGCAAUAAUCAAAUCUUAAGGCAAUGGCAAGGCUGAUGGUGGGGAUUUGGCACAAUAAGGGGAAGGAAUGAUGCUGUCCAGUUGUACCUUAAAUCCUAAAGGAUUACUAAUGACAUGGGAGGGAUAGCUACCUGCCCCACACACAGGGGCUCCUGGACAAUACCGUGGCUUUAGAAACAAACCUAGGUUCUGAGGGAAUGACACUGCAAAGUCUUACAGAAAUCCUUUUAUGAGAUAGCCAGUCCAGAAUAAAGCCUUUGCGGUACUUGUCAACAAGCAAGAAGCCUUCUGAAGAGGUAGAUGAAAGCAGUAUUUCACAGCAGGUGUGCUGCCCGACGUGACGAAAGACAUGCAUGCGCCUCUCAGCACAGACCAGAAGAUCAACUGUUGUUGAAAACAGUCCAUGGUGGUGAGAAGAGAUGUCGGCCACAUUACUAGGUGCAUUAUUUCAAUUUUAUUGUAUUAAGAACAGGAAGGACUGCCAUUUCUUUAAAUAACAAACUAUACAAAUAAAAAGGAGCAGAAAUAAUAUGGAAUGUUUUUGACGAAAACAAACUUAUGGAUUCAAUAAAUAAUAUAAAAUGCCUUUGUGCUAAAAUAGAACUCUUGUUUCUUAUAUAUAUAUAGUUCAGUGAUCUUUAUGCUAUCCAGAAAAAGCCAGAUCUAUUAUAAUUAAACAUAGAAAAAUACCAUUUAACAAUAAAACUAAAAAAAUGGCCAGUGUUGAGCUUAUAAACCACAUAUAAUAUAUACAUCAUUUAAUAUAAUCAACUAAGAAAGUAAAUUUCAAGUUCUUUGUAAUACAAAUACACAAUUGAAAAUAUUUCUCCAUUCCCUACCCUUACAUCAAAGACAUCUGAUAUUUAGGACAAAAUUAAAAAUGGAAGCAUAGUUACCAGUUUUCAGAGAUGAUUCUGAGAUUGUUAGAUACUGGAGCGCUAACUCUACUAUACAAAGCUGAGUUAUUUAACUCUAAAUUGAAGGAUUUUUUCCCCUAUAUGUGUUUGAUGAAAUGCGUAUACUCUUAACCCAUUUUCUGUAGUUUGUGUUUUUAAUAAAGGCAAUUUAAAAUUUGGGAGCCUGCGUUUCUCAAUCAGUGCUAACACAGCCAGGUCAGAAAGACAGCCCCUUUGGGCCAGCUGUGGGGGCCUGCAGGAGUGGUUAUCUCUGUGAUUCGGCUGAAAUAAAACAACUAUCUUAGUCCUUAAGGACAAAGAAAAUAUAAAGUUCAUUGUGACUUGAGGAAGCCAAGGAGUACCAUUUUAGAGUUCAAAUUUCAUUUGUUUCAUAAUAAACUUUGUUAAAAUGUGACCUGGAUUAAAAAAAAAUCAUAUUAACAUGAAUUUAAGUAAUUCAAGUCUCUCCAGUAAACUUUACAUAGGAGGGAAAAAUCAUGUUAAAUCUUUAGGAAAAAAUUUAAACGGUUAAUUACUUAAAAAAAUUUUUUUUGUAGAGAUGGGGUCUUGCUGUGUUGCCCAGGCUGGUAACUCACCGUGGAAGUGAGCAGGGUAGAACAGAAGAGGCCUGUUACUCUUGACAGUUUUACCAGGACUUCAGUGGAUUUGUAACAGUGUCCCCAACUGACCAAUGGGGCAAUGCAUUCACAGUGAUCCAGACACUGCCUCUCCACCUCGGGGGCUGCAAAGUGCACACACACACACACACACACACACACACACACACACACACACACGGGGUGUUUUGGAGAUGGCCUGGUAAUGCUUUAGCUCUGGGUCCCCUGUGCCUCCAUGGGAGGGUGCCAGAGGGUAGGCAGAGGCAAAAGAACUUCUUCAGAAAGUCCUGAUAGGCAGCAAAUGGCUUCUGAAUGAGUUCAGCAGCUCCACAUUCAAAAACAAAGUGACCAAGUCUCAGAAUAAUUAUCAUAAGGAAAACUCUCCUGUUACAGGGGGGAAAAAAGAAACUUCACCUAUUUUAACUCAGUUAUUUCCUUGGUGCUUUAUGGUGUAAUGAUUUUUACCAGUAACUUCUUUCUUCCUUCGCCCGAUUUCUACCACUAUUCUCUUUGUGACACCCAGCCCAGCCCCCACCUGUCACAGAUCCCAGUGAAGCCCAAAUCAUCUCCCAACAAGUCAACCCCUCACUCAGGGUGGGAGGUGUUAAUUCAUCAAGCAUCUCUGAAUGACACAGAAACAUUUCCCUGAACGUAACUGAGACAACACUGCAUAUGAUUAAAUCAUACAAGAUAACUCUUAUCUUACACCAGCACAUUUCAAAGCAUUUCUAUAGGUUUACAUCAUGCUAAAGAGGCCAGACUUUGAGAACGUUGUUUUCUUCUUGAUAUGUUAAAAUUCUGAAACAUUAGAAAAAUCAAUUCCACUGAAAAGUAAAAUGUGUUGAAUUGGCCCAGCUACAAAUUCCGAGUGAAAUUUUAAAAAGCAGAGAAAAACCACACUUUGAUCUUUUUAAUCUAGUUAAAUCCCUGUCGUCAAUUGGUAAACAUUACUUUGUAGAUGACCAGUGUGGCCUUCAAACAGUCGUUUCUAAUAUCUGUAUAUGGCAUAUGUCAGACCAGAAAUCAAGCUACAUCUUGUUUGCAACAAACAGACCAUUGUUUGUUGCUGCUGCUGUCUUCAGCAAAAUGCUUCCUUUCCUCAGUGCAUCUCACUGGAUAUUUAGCCCCCCUCCUUUUUUUUUUUGAGACAGAGUCUCGCUCUGUCGCCCAGGCUGGAGUGCAGUGGCGCAAUCUCGGCUCACUGCAAGCUCUGCCUCCCGGGUUCAUGCCAUUCUCCUGCCUCAGCCUCCCAAGUAGCUGGGACUACAGGCGCCCGCCACCACGCCCGGCUAAUUUUUAUUUGUAUUUUUAGUAGAGACGGGGUUUCACUCUGCUAACCAGGAUGGUCUCAAUCUCCUGACCUCGUGAACCGCCCCUCUCGGCCUCCCAAAGUGCUGGGAUUAUAGGCGUGAGCCAUCGUGCCCGGCCAGCCCCUUCUUUUUAAACAUAGGACCUGAAAUUGUCACGUCAGUGAAUGGACCAAUCAGAGGCAUGAGCACUUUGCAUGAAUGGUGACAUAAUAAGCUGACUUCUAGAAGUUUUGUUGAAAAAUCAUACUUAAAUAUGACAAAGAAGGAAAACCAAUGAGCCCCCAUGACAUGAGGGGAUGAAUGAACCAAAGAGAAUGUUUUAGGUUAAAAAUAAUAAACCUGAAUUCACAAAGGUUUUUAAUUUAUUCCAUAUAUAUCUUACAUAGCAGCUUAAAGUAAUCUAUUAUUUUUAGGCUUUAUUGAUUCUUUUGAAUCAUGAAAUCAAGACUUAUUACCGCAUGAUUUUGUAAAAAUAUCAACCUCAAUUAUUUUUCUCAUCAAUGUUAAAAUAUCCCAACCACAGGAAUCUAAAAUAAUGAAAAAAAAUAGGCUGAAUUUUGACCUUUUUAAUAGUUGGAGUGUAAUAAGGGUGAACAUCUAGGAAUUAUGUAAUACUUGGAAAACCUUCUAAAACAUCCAAGUACUAUGGCUGGGCAUGGUGGCUUACAUCUCUAAUUCCAGCAUUUUGGGAGGCCAAGGAAGGAGGAUCACUUGAGCCUAAGAGUUCAAGACCCCAUCUCUACCCAAAAAAUAAAUUAGCCAGGAAAGGUGGCAUGCACCUGUAGUCCUAGCUACUCAGGAGGCUGACGUGGGAGGAUUGCUUGAACCUAGGAAUUCAAGGCUGCAGUGAGCCAUGAUCAUCCCACUGUUCUCCAGCCUGGGUGACAGAGCGAGGCCCUAUCCCAAAAAAUUAAAAAAUUAAAAAAAAACAACAGCCAAGUAUACCAUGAUGUUUAAUCCAACUGACUUUUCCUCUGGCCAUGCAGGCAACCGGGUGCAGACACAGCGGUAUCCUGUGUCUGGUCGCAGAAACACCUCCAUCACAACAUUUUGGCAGAAGGCACUCAAACCAGACCCCAACACAACUGGUGACCGCCCUCAGAAACAGCUCAAUCUAGUCUUACAAAGCACUUUUAAUAAAUGACAUCUAGAUGUACUUCUCAACCAUAUCAUUACAAAUCAAAUGUGAGUUGGGGAAGUGUAAAAGUUUACACUUUUGUUUGAAGCAAAAGGACUUUCAGAGCAUUUUCCAAUUCAUAUAUCUUUUCUAAAAGGGAGUGGAGCCUUAUGUUCUAUUCUUAGAGCAGAAAUUCUAGUUUUUGAAAGAGAUGCGGAUCAGCUCAAUUUUAGAACAAGUAUGGGAAAGUUGAAUAAUCUUUCUGAACACGUUUGUGCAGCUCACGCCCUAGGUACGAGAUAUUAGACGCUAAGCCCAGACCCUGGUGGAGUCAACAGCAGUGACUAGACAGAAUAUGUGGCAAUGCUUAGGGCAAUCUGUUACCCAACACUGAACAUCUUUAAAUUCCAUUCUGGGGAGUCUAAGAUGUGUUUGAUAUCAGACAUAAAAAUUUACGUGAUAAGUAGGAGUCACUUCAAGUUCUAGGUUCAUAGGUACCAAAGUGUGUAGCAAAGAAAAAGAACUUUUAUUUCUUCAGUAGUUUCUAAUGCAGACAAAUGUGACAAGGCAGGGAGCUGAGCUGACCCCAAGCCGAAGGGUCCCGACUCCUCUCGG